ACUCAAAGGAAUAGACGGGGGCCCGCACAAGCAGUGGAGUAUGUGGUUUAAUUCGAAGCAACGCGAAGAACCUUACCUGGGCUUGACAUAUGGACGCAAGAUGUAGAGAUACAUCCUUCUUCGGACGUCCAAUACAGGUGGUGCAUGGUUGUCGUCAGCUCGUGUCGUGAGAUGUUGGGUUAAGUCCCGCAACGAGCGCAACCCCUAUUGUCAGUUGCUAACAUUAAGUUGAGAACUUUGGCAAGACUGCCGGUGACAAAUCGGAGGAAGGUGGGGACGACGUCAAAUCAUCAUGCCCCUUAUGUCCAGGGCUACACACGUACUACAAUGGCCGUUAACAACAGGAAGCGAAGCCGCGAGGUGGAGCAAAUCCCCAAAAACGGUCUCAGUUCGAAUUGCAGGCUGAAACUCGCCUGUAUGAAGUCGGAAUUGCUAGUAAUCGCGAAUCAGCAUGUCGCGGUGAAUACGUUCCCGGGCCUUGCACACACCGCCCGU
rnacentral:rRNA from 1 species